ACCUUAGAAAUAGGUGCUAAAACCGCAUAAGCGCACAGCUUCGCAUGAAGCGGUGUGAAAAACUCCGGUGGUGUAAGAUGGACCCGCGUCUGAUUAGCUUGUUGGCGGGGUAACGGCCCACCAAGGCGACGAUCAGUAGCCGGCCUGAGAGGGCGGACGGCCACAUUGGGACUGAGACACGGCCCAGACUCCUACGGGAGGCAGCAG
rnacentral:rRNA from 1 species